GCAACUAUGAAAUGCGGAAUGUAAUUGAUAUGAUGGAUAAACUACUAAAUAAGGAGUAUCCUCUGGCGCUCCCAGACACUCUGCAGCAAGAAUUCUCCUUGCCCCUGCCUGCAGAUGUUGCGGAUUUGGUAACCAUGAAAACCAAGUAUGAAAAGGAAUACCUGGUGAUAUUUAUAACCCUGAAGUAGGACCAGUGGCUGCGCGUGGAAGGAUCCAGCGUCGUUUCCUCCUGUUCUCCUUUCCUCUCAAGAUCAACACCUGUUUCUUGCUUUGACUGCUGGGAAGACUGGGGUGGGGAGGGGCGGAUGUGUGGGGACGUGGACAAUAGUGCCUUCACCCCAGGAAGAUCGCCCUUCUAAAGCCAAAAAGCGUGUUUUAAUUUCAAAUACUUUAAAGC
rnacentral:lncRNA from 1 species